GCCACGGAGCAAAGCUUUGGAUCUCAAGAGGUGUCUUUCUGUUGUCAGCUGACCCCCAGGAUGCUCCACAAACUUGAUCUCAGAACCAGAAGCAGAAAAAUUGGACUCAUCUUUCCACUAAGAAAUGAGGCUUCCCUCAGGAGUUCAAACUGCUUGCAAGGUUUGGGCCUUCUGUGAUGAACUCACAAACAUACCUGUGGGAGAAGAGUGAAAUGUCCCCAAGUCUAGUGGAGUUGAAGAGGCAUCAAAUCAGGAAUUCAAGCCUGUAGCCAAUGAACUUUCCGCCCCCGUUAUGAGAAACAAUGCGCAGAAUCCCAAGGACUUCCCCGGGGGAGGAUUCUGCCUGCGCACAACUUAUUUUGUCUUAAGAAAACAAAACUCUUGUGACGUCCUUCCCCCCCAGUAAAGUCAGUGACUUUCAACUUCCUUUCCCUUCCCAAGUCCUCGCAGAACUUUAGGCAAAUUACAGCAGGAACAUUUGAUCUUCUCCCCAGAUGUUUUGAUCACAGAAGGGCCACAUAUGUGCACACAUUCCUGGAUAUUUUUAGAUUUUUACAGGCUCCAAAGUUCUAACUGCGUUUUCACUCUGCUUUUUGUGGCCGCUGUCUGGAGAUGCUCUGCCAAGGCAGCAGAGGCAGAGGCUGAUGGAAGAGGGCCUGGCACAGGGUACGCUCCCCAAACAGCCUCACUCAGUGACACUCCCAGAAGUUGCUCUGAGCAAUCCUUGCAGGCGGCAUGUCUUCAGUCUCUGAGGCCUCUCUGGCCACUAAGAGGAAACAAACCACUGCCAUUUAGGAAUUAUGGGUUACACAGAGUCUCCCUAUAAGAAUUCCAGCUGCAUGUCCCCUAAAAAACAUACCAAGACCUCAACAAAGAGGAAUAGCAGGUACAGUGGAGGGAAUAUUGGGCAAAAAGUCAGGAGCUAUGCCACUGGCUGGCUAUAUGACCAGGUACUUUGCUCUACAGGGUUCUAGUUUCUCUAUCUGCACAACAGAAUGCAUCACACAUUGUAGCCCAGGGGUCUGCAAACUACCGCCUGCAGGUUGGCUGCCUAUUUUUGUAAAUAAAGUCGUAUUGGGACAAAGCCAGUCCCAUUUGUUUGCAUAUUAUCUGUGGCUGAGCUACCAUGGCAGAGUUGGCUAGUUGUGACAGAAAACACAUGGCCCACAAAUCUAAAAUAUUCACUCUCUGGACCUUUAAAAAAAAGGUUGCUGACCUCUGAUGAAGCAGAUGCUGCAUUCACCAUUCCAAGAUGUGCCAAACGCAUCCCACUGCCACCGCUGGGACUCUCGUCCUUCCUCCUGGGGGAGGGGCGAUAGAAGUUAAUGUCCCCAGAAGCAGCCCUCAGCCAACGACGGAUGGACAUUGGGGGUCAUUCCCCAGCUCCCUCACCUCGCAUGUGGGAAAAUCCUGAAGUGUGUUUCCUGUUGUCUCCUAGAUGGCCCCAGAAGCCUACAACAGUAACCUCCUCAUCACCACACCCUGUAUUGUCCUCCUUCCGGUCCCUGUCUCCCCUCUCCUACCAGUGCUUUCCUGGUUCCAUUCCCCCAGAACCUCUUGCACUUCUGUCAUGGACUCAGGGUCUGCUUCUGAGAGUGUGCGGCCUAAGACAGAACACGAGUCUGGUAUACCUCCUGCUUUCCCUCCGCGACUGGCAUCCCACUGCAUUAAGCUGUGCAUGGACUUCCCGGCUUCGAUGAAAUGCCACAAGAGAGAACAUGGGAUGUGUUUUCCUGGAUGGCCCACAGUGAUGAUGACACGCCUUGGAAGUGCAGGGGAGUGUGUUCUCCGUGGCGUACACCUUGACCAUAAGAGGGAAACUGACAGACACAUGUCCCCUGCUGUCCCUCUCCUUGAACUUCUAUGAAGUGGGGUCUCUCUUUGCAACCUUCCAGGGAGUUUUUGUGUGCUAAGAAAUGCAAAGAAUACUGUGUUUCUUUGGCACCUCCUCGAAUAGUUGUAUAGUGGUUACCUGAGUAAUAACCCAGACAUCUUCCUUUGUCUCACUUACCAAUUUUUUUCUUAACUUUGACCAUCCAGAGUUUGUACCUCCCAAGGAAAAUCUCAGUACUUUACCCUUGCCUCAGGCUCUGCUUUCCAGAGGACGUGAGCUAAGGCAAGGAGUUGGUUUAAAUAUCUCUAAGGACUCUUUCAGCUUUGACAUACUAGCCUUGCACUAAAUUCCAUUCUUCACAUACCAAGGGAUAAGAAAAAAAAAUUUUGUAUCUACUGUACUGGACACGAAACACCAUUUAAUUUUCAUAGAGAUUAGUUUCUGAGGUAUGCUGGGAAUCUUGUGUGUUACGAUACAAAUCAGACCA